rnacentral:rRNA from 1 species
UACGGAGGGGGCCAGCGUUGUUCGGAAUCAUUGGGCGUAAAGGGCGCGUAGGCGGCCACGCAAGUCGGAUGUGAAAUCCCUCGGCUCAACCGAGGAACUGCAUCCGAAACUGCGAGGCUCGAGUCCUGGAGAGGGUAGUGGAAUUCCCAGUGUAGCGGUGAAAUGCGUAGAUACUGGGAGGAACACCGGUGGCGAAGGCGGCUACCUGGACAGGUACUGACGCUGAUGCGCGAAAGCCAGGGGGAGCAAACAGG